rnacentral:rRNA from 1 species
CUAAGGCUCCAGAGGAAGCCACGGCUAACUCUGUGCCAGCAGCCGCGGUAAUACAGAGGCGGCAAGCGUUGUUCGGAGUUAUUGGGCGUAAAGAGCACGUAGGCGGCCCUGAAAGUCAGUUGUGAAAGCCUUCCGCUUAACGGAAGAAUGCCAGCUGAUACUACAGGGCUUGAGUACGGGAGGGGAGAGUGGAACUUCUGGUGGAGCGGUGAAAUGCGUAGAUAUCAGAAGGAACGCCGGCGGCGAAAGCGACUCUCUGGCCCGAAACUGACGCUGAGUGUGCGAAAGCUAGGGGAGCAAACGGGAUUAGAUACCCCGGUAGUCCUAGCCGUAAA